ACAACAUCUGGUCCGUCGGUCUACCGACCAAUAUUUAACCAGCUCGGUGGAAGAUCUUCCCUUUGUCGU
rnacentral:pre_miRNA from 1 species